ensembl:lncRNA
AGUAGGAGGCAACAUUGAGCCAUAAUAUUAAAGAAGAUGGAGGUGGAUAGUGCAGAUUGCUCUGACCAGCACUGAAGAAGUGAUGUGAGGACAGUCCAUCAGUCACAGCAUGGUGAAUCACCUAAACCAGAAAUACAUUGCUGCCUUGCCAGUGAAAACUGAUGUUACAUCAGUGGUUAAGCAAAUGGGAGGAAAACAUUAUAGACCUCAGGCAAGAUGCACAGGUAGAGAGAAUGGGAAAGGCCACCUGACUGUUGCUCUAUCAUUCUCAUCUGUCCACGUGUUGACAUUUAAGUGUCUCAGCUGCUGCUUCUAUCUGGAACAGCCGGUUAUGAUCCCUAUGGCAUCAUGCAACAGCUGUAUCACUUCCUUUUCUCCCUAACAAGAUGGGAGAGAUAAUAAUGGCAGCCAUCUCUGUCAGCUUUACACUAGAAUAUUCUUUGUUUUAACUAUUGUAGAGCCCUAACUGGAUUCCCUUCAUUUUUCAUCGCCUCCAGGGAAUCUGGUGUCAGAAUCAUGUGAGCCCUGACUUCACUGCUGUGAUUCACGUGACUUCUCUCACAGGGAAUUUCACUUUUCUGUAGUGUUAGGCUUAUCUAUUGAAUGAAAAGGUGAUCCUCUCCCUCAUUUAUGAUUCAUUAAACUAUGACAACCAAAACUAACUGCAGGCAAGGAAAAGUACUGAUAGAAAUGUUUUGUCACUCAGGAGCUUUGUCACUCCUCUGUCAUUUUAAGUCCACCACAGUUCUCUUUUUUCUCUCCUUAUAUCUCCAUAAUCAUGAAAAGCCAUCUUCUGGCAUCCAGCUUUCAGCAGACAACCAGUGAAUAUUCAGAGACAUCAGACCAUCAAUUUGAUGACUGUUCCCAUAGCUACUCUAUUGAUAGACUAUGUCUCUUACAGUUAAGAACUGAGCUAUGACUAUGAUCAGAAUAAGAGAAAUGUUGUUUCAAAAGUGCUUCAAACUUAGCGAAGCUCUCAAAAGCUCUUUCGUCCUGGUAUAGAAGAGGGAUUGAUAUUUUGGGUAGUACAGCUUACAAAAUGCCUUUAUUUCUGGAAACAUAAAAAACUAUAUAUUUGUCAGGCAUUCUGAAGAAAUUAAUGUAAGACCUGGUUUGGAACAAAAUAUUCUUGUCCAAUACAAGUCCCAGCACCCAGUUCUGCAGUGCAUCUCUCCACAUUUCCUGUGCCUUUGGACUGAGUUCUAGCAACGCCCUUGGAAGCUCUUCAAUAGCAGCCCAGCCCCUGAAGAUGGGCAAUGGGUCAUGUAGUGCUGGACUUGGGUAUCUCCUCACACUUUGUUCUGAGAUUAACACAGAUUUAUCUAAUUUUGAAACCCGUGGAUUUGUCUGAGCCAAGAGAAAAUCUUGCUCUUCUUUUAAAUAGAAAUAACUGCUUUGUGGCAAUAGAAUCAGCACAUUGGUGUCUCUUUUUUUGUAGCUUAUAAAGUGAACACAGACUGUUUUGGUUCAGUUGUCCAUACACUGAGACAUCUGAAAGGUUGUGCCAGGGCCUCACCAAAUCGAUCUUUCGGCAGUCAAGGGGGGACAUACAAUGUAAGUUCAGCAUUUACUGUGCCAGAAGGUAGAACCUCACCUACACAGAGGCUACAGCUGGAAGAACUUUGUGUUCCACUUGUUACACAGGUUUCUUUAAAGAAUAAUGGUAAUAAUAAAAUAUUUAGAUCCAAAGAGUGCUUGAAAUUG